rnacentral:lncRNA from 1 species
UUCGGUUUUUUGCACCGGAGCAUCUCGUACGCAGAUCCUUCCGAAGCAACGGCAGUAUAGCCGCAACAGCCGAAGUGACAACACGUAAAUCCUUGCCGCAGAAAAAGAAGGAGUUGGAGAGGAGAGAGAGAUACAUUGCGGCAAGCAUCAAUUUGUACUUGACAGACGUCAAAGUUUAACCUUCAACUACCAUAUCUACGUUGUGCUGAAAAAUUCGCGUACGGGCUCUCAAUUCAUCAUGGUGCCUAGUUCAUCGCAGUACGUGAUCAACUUCCAACCACGAUGGGUAACACUUGUAUAGCAUCGCACAAUUCGUUUACAGGUACUCAGUGAUGCUGCCACCGCAGUUAUGACCCCCUGGACUUCCUCCGUUCAUCAGGGGGAGUCCAGGGACCCGUCCCCUGGGACAGCGC